rnacentral:ncRNA from 2 species
ACAGCGGGCGGCAACUGGCGCUGAACGUGGGCCAACCACGGGGAAGCCGCUUUCCGACUUUCGAAUUGAUCGCGCGCCUGGGUCUGACGU